ensembl:lncRNA
AGAACUCCGUUUGCUCACUGCAAAUCUCACUGUGCUCUGGGUGCAGCUCCAGUGCAGCUGUAUUCCCUCUGCAUGGUGAAUGUCUGCUCUGAGAUUUCCCACAGCAACCAGCUCCCGUAGCGUCUCCCUUGGAGAAAACAUAAUUACCCAAGUGCUAGGACCGGAGCAGCACCACCAGCCCUACUUUCAGCACUUCAUUCAGAACUCCAUCUCAGCAUCAGCCCAUCUCCUCUUCUGCAGUAAUGCCUCCUCCCACCACAGCUCAGCCUGGCUUCACCCUAUCCCGAGGCGAGCUACUGCCCAUCUCCUCCUUCUCCAUAGGCAUCUGGGCACAAAGCUGCUGAAAGAAACCAGCCUAUUCCUCUCUGUGCACAUGGAGAGCCCUUGGGGGACUGCUCAAUGGGACCACAAACCCCGUCCCACCCCAUUGCGGGCAGCUGCAGAAUGGCACAGGCACGGAGCUCUGCACCUACAGAGGAGGUGUUUGCACAGACAAACAGCCACCCUUGGACUGUUCCCAUCCAAAGAGGUGUUUUAGAGGAGACCGGGACAGCCCCCAGCACAGGCUGUUGACACAGGAGAAUGCAGCAGAUUUCACCUAGAAAGGGGCUGUUUGAACAGAACAGCACAGCUCAGAAGUGCUUAUGUCUGGAGAGUGGAUGUUUACACAGGGGAAUAAAGCAUCCGCCUUGCUAUUAGAGCACAAAACAAAUGUUUGCCCAGGUAAGCACAGAGCCCAAGCUCCGGUUUGGCAUUGGGUCUGUAGCUCUCAAUGAGCACAGCCGCUGUUGGGCUCUCCCAGGUCCCCGCUGUGCUGGGGGAUGGGGUGCAUGGCUCACCCACAGCCAAAGCCACCUCUUCUCAGCUGGCUCAAGAAUUAAGCACCAUUCAGCACACCCUGGUGAAAAAUUGCUUUUAAUUCCUUUUUCUUUCCAUUAGACAUGCUCUCUC